rnacentral:misc_RNA from 1 species
GAUGAAGAACGUAGCGAAAUGCGAUAAGUAAUGUGAAUUGCAGAAUUCAGUGAAUCAUCGAGUCUUUGAACGCACAUUGCGCCCCCUGGUAUUCCGGGGGGCAUGCCUGUCCGAGCGUCAUUGCUGCCCUCAAGCACGGCUUGUGUGUUGGGCCUCCGUCCUCCUCCCGGGGGACGGGCCCGAAAGGCAGCGGCGGCACCGCGUCCGGUCCUCGAGCGUAUGGGGCUUCGUCACCCGCUCUUGUAGGCCCGGCCGGCGCUUGCCGACACAUCAAUCUUUUUUCCAGGUUGACCUCGGAUCAGGUAGGGAUACCUGCUGAACUUAAGCAUAUCAAUAAGCGGAGGA